AGUUAUGUUAAACUUUCCUAGCAGUCCUUCACAAACAGGGAACAGUCUGUCUAUUCUCUCCAUCUGUCAGCUGCUGCUGGCUCUUCCUCCUCCUCUUCCUCACACACUGCUGAGUUUGUCCUGGUGGAUCAUCAGGGCUGCAAAGCCUCACAGAUGAUGUGCAGCAGUGGGUCCCUCAGUCUGUCCUCACUCUGGACACUUGCAGUCGUCACACAUGGAAAUCAAAUGUGUGAUAAGCUGCAGGAUUCAAACACAAGUGUGACUUAUAAACACAUGUUCAUACUUUUAUUCCACAAUCAGAGAGAAAGAAACAGAGAGAGAGUGCAGGACAGACAGACAGGUGACAGUCUCAGGUGUACACACUGCUACAAACAGGAGGAUUUAGUGUUUGUGUUAUUACGAGUGUAAACAAGAAGAGUUCCAGAUGGUGCAGUGGACACAUGUGUGACUGCUGUGAUUAAAGCAUCUUUCUUUCAGCUUAACGAGUGAACCGUCAGCUCGUUCAAACACACGUUAAAGUCCGUUUGGCUCGACACCAGCGAACAGAGGCAGCAAUAUAACACAGCUAACAUUAACAGUGCAGUGGAUCCUGCUUGUGCCGUCAUAUUCAGGACUGCAAACCGAGCAGCAUCACUGACUUUCAGCCUGUUGUGUUUGUGGAUAUAUGACUGACUUUAAUUAUCCAUAAAUCAUCAGAUUCUCUGUAAGAUUAAAGUCAACUAUUGAACGGUGGAUAUUUUGAAGUAAAGGCUUUAAAACCAAGUUAGUACAAACGUCACUAAUGUCACAUAACUUUGCCGACAUGUGGCCAACAGCAAUGUUUUAAUUAGUGAUGGGACGUUCUGUAUCGAGGCUUUGAAGCUUGUGUCGAGUAAUGGAGGGGGCGUUUCCGCGAUGCGCGUAUCGAGGCUUGCUUCAUUUAUGGGAGGAGCUGAAAAUGAUGACGUCCGAAGCCUCGCUGCCCGGCUGUACCACGUGACUGGUUCAUGAAGUGGUUUGAACUUUGCCGCGAGAUAUGACAGCGAUAUAAACCCUCAGACUUCAUUCAAAAUGUGGGUGUUUGAUGGAGAGUUGUUAGUGAGAGUUUGGAGACAGUUUGGAGGUUUAUGAGAGUGAGGAGAGAAAGUCAGGAGAGAAUGGAGCCAGCUAAGAAGAGGAGGAUGUCCUCCCCUGUGUGGGAACAUUUUGAUCUUAUUCCUCCCAACAAGGUGAAGUGUUUGCUAUGUGCCAGGCAGCUGGGAUAUAACAACACCUCAUCCAUGCUUAGGCACUACAGAGCUUUGCAUGAGAAUAAGGGGGACACCGAUUGUGGAGCAAGACCAGGAGAACAAUCUCCAAUAGAUGAAGACCUGGUUAGCAACAAUGCUAGUGCUAGCGGCGCUAACGGCUGCAGACAGGAAGAUACUGCCAGCACCGGAAACGUGCUCGUCAUCUCCGAGCAUGAAGUAAGGAGAGCCUUCAAGAGAGUGAACACCAGGAAAGCAGCAGGACCAGACGGCAUCCCAGGUCGUAUCCUCAGAGACUGCGCAUACCAGCUAGCUCCUGUGUUCACUGAGAUAUUCAACAUCUCUUUAUCUCAGUCGGUGAUCCCCACAUGCUUCAAAGAGUCCAUCAUUGUUCCUGUCCCGAAGAAACCCCACCCUGCUUCUCUCAAUGACUAUCGCCCUGUAGCCCUCACCUCAGUAGUGAUGAAGUGCUUUGAACGCCUGGUCAGAGACUUCAUCAUUUCUUCACUACCAGACACACUGGACCCACUACAGUUCGCUUACCGUCCAAAUCGUUCCACAGACGAUGCCAUCUCUCAUCUCCUCCACACAUCACUCACUCACUUGGACACUAGAAGGGGG
ensembl:lncRNA